rnacentral:rRNA from 1 species
GACGAACGCUGGCGGCGUGCCUAACACAUGCAAGUCGAACGAGGUCCAAGGGAGCUUGCUCCCUGAAGACCUAGUGGCGAACGGGUGAGUAACACGUGAGAAACCUGCCUCGGAGUGGGGAAUAACUCGGGGAAACUCGAGCUAAUACCGCAUACCUUCACACGAUCGCAUGGUCGAGUGAAGAAAGAAUUUCGCUCUGAGAGGGUCUCGCGGCCUAUCAGCUUGUUGGUGGGGUAACGGCCCACCAAGGCAACGACGGGUAGCUGGUUUGAGAGAACGAUCAGCCACACUGGGACUGAGACACGGCCCAGGCUCCUACGGGAGGCAGCAGUGGGGAAUCUUGCGCAAUGGGCGAAAGCCUGACGCAGCAACGCCGCGUGCGGGAUGACGGCCUCGUGGUUGUAA